rnacentral:rRNA from 1 species
GACGAACGCUGGCGGCGUGCUUAACACAUGCAAGUCGAACGGAAAGGCCCUGCUUUUGUGGGGUGCUCGAGUGGCGAACGGGUGAGUAACACGUGAGUAACCUGCCCUUGACUUUGGGAUAACUUCAGGAAACUGGGGCUAAUACCGGAUAGGAGCUCCUGCUGCAUGGUGGGGGUUGGAAAGUUUCGGCGGUUGGGGAUGGACUCGCGGCUUAUCAGCUUGUUGGUGGGGUAGUGGCUUACCAAGGCUUUGACGGGUAGCCGGCCUGAGAGGGUGACCGGCCACACUGGGACUGAGAUACGGCCCAGACUCCUACGGGAGGCAGCAGUGGGGAAUAUUGCACAGUGGGCGGAAGCCUGAUGCAGAAACGCCGCGUGCGGGAUGACGGCCUUCGGGUUGUAAACCGCUUUCGCCUGUGACGAAGCGUGAGUGACGGUAAUGGGUAAAGAAGCACCGGCUAACUACGUG